rnacentral:ncRNA from 2 species
GGAUGCGAUCAUACCAGCACUAAUGCACCG